UAUAAACCCACACUCCUGACAACUCCCAAGAUUUGUAAAAAUCAAACCACAGAUGCUCCUGCAGAGAAGGGGGGAAGAAAAUGGUGUGAAUCCCGUUUCAAGUCGCAGUAAGCUACCGUUUAAAAUCAUGAUUUAAAAAGAGUACAUCAUGAGAAAUGCUGGACUGGAAGAAACACAAGCCGGAAUCAAGAUUGCCGGGA